rnacentral:rRNA from 1 species
AUGAACGCUGGCGGCGUGCUUAACACAUGCAAGUCGAACGAUGAAGCCCAGCUUGCUGGGUGGAUUAGUGGCGAACGGGUGAGUAACACGUGAGUAACCUGCCCUUAACUCUGGGAUAAGCCUGGGAAACUGGGUCUAAUACCGGAUAGGAGCGCCUACCGCAUGGUGGGUGUUGGAAAGAUUUAUCGGUUUUGGAUGGACUCGCGGCCUAUCAGCUUGUUGGUGAGGUAAUGGCUCACCAAGGCGACGACGGGUAGCCGGCCUGAGAGGGUGACCGGCCACACUGGGACUGAGACACGGCCCAGACUCCUACGGGAGGCAGCAGUGGGGAAUAUUGCACAAUGGGCGCAAGCCUGAUGCAGCGACGCCGCGUGAGGGAUGACGGCCUUCGGGUUGUAAACCUCUUUCAGUAGGGAAGAAGCGAAAGUGACGGUACCUGCAGAAGAAGCACCGGCUAACUACGUGCCAGCAGCCGCGGUAAUACGUAGGGUGCGAGCGUUAUCCGGAAUUAUUGGGCGUAAAGAGCUCGUAGGCGGUUUGUCGCGUCUGUCGUGAAAGUCCGGGGCUUAACCCCGGAUCUGCGGUGGGUACGGGCAGACUAGAGUGCAGUAGGGGAGACUGGAAUUCCUGGUGUAGCGGUGGAAUGCGCAGAUAUCAGGAGGAACACCGAUGGCGAAGGCAGGUCUCUGGGCUGUAACUGACGCUGAGGAGCGAAAGCAUGGGGAGCGAACAGGAUUAGAUACCCUGGUAGUCCAUGCCGUAAACGUUGGGCACUAGGUGUGGGGACCAUUCCACGGUUUCCGCGCCGCAGCUAACGCAGUAAGUGCCCGCCUGGGGAGUACGGCCGCAAGGCUAAAACUCAAAGGAAUUGACGGGGGCCCGCACAAGCGGCGGAGCAUGCGGAUUAAUUCGAUGCAACGCGAAGAACCUUACCAAGGCUUGACAUGUUCUCGAUCGCCGUAGAGAUACGGUUUCCCCUUUGGGGCGGGUUCACAGGUGGUGCAUGGUUGUCGUCAGCUCGUGUCGUGAGAUGUUGGGUUAAGUCCCGCAACGAGCGCAACCCUCGUUCCAUGUUGCCAGCACGUAAUGGUGGGGACUCAUGGGAGACUGCCGGGGUCAACUCGGAGGAAGGUGAGGACGACGUCAAAUCAUCAUGCCCCUUAUGUCUUGGGCUUCACGCAUGCUACAAUGGCCGGUACAAUGGGUUGCGAUACUGUGAGGUGGAGCUAAUCCCAAAAAGCCGGUCUCAGUUCGGAUUGGGGUCUGCAACUCGACCCCAUGAAGUCGGAGUCGCUAGUAAUCGCAGAUCAGCAACGCUGCGGUGAAUACGUUCCCGGGCC